GACGAACGCUGGCGGCGUGCUUAACACAUGCAAGUCGAGCGAGGCCCAUCCUUCGGGGUGGUGCCCUAGCGGCGAACGGGUGAGUAACACGUGGGCAACCUGCCCUCAGCUCUGGGAUAACUCCAAGAAAUUGGUGCUAAUACCGGAUGUGACCGCUGACCGCAUGGUCUGGUGGUGGAAAGAUUCAUCGGCUGAGGAUGGGCCCGCGGCCUAUCAGCUUGUUGGUGGGGUAAUGGCCCACCAAGGCGACGACGGGUAGCCGGCCUGAGGGGGUGACCGGCCACACUGGGACUGAGACACGGCCCAGACUCCUACGGGAGGCAGCAGUGGGGAAUAUUGCGCAAUGGGCGGAAGCCUGACGCAGCGACGCCGCGUGAGGGAUGACGGCCUUCGGGUUGUAAACCUCUUUCAGUAGGGACGAAGCGAAAGUGACGGUACCUACAGAAGAAGCACCGGCCAACUACGUG
rnacentral:rRNA from 1 species